AGAACGGUACUGGAGAGGGAGGGGCAGGCGGGUAUCGCUUCUCGGCCUUUUGGCUAAGAUCAAGUGUAGUAUCUGUUCUUAUCAGUUUAAUAUCUGAUACGUCCUCUAUCCGAGGACAAUAUAUUAAAUGGAUUUUUGGAGCCGGGAGAUGGAAUAGGAGCUUGCUCCGUCCACUCCGCGCAUCGACCCGGUAUUGCAGUACUUCCGGGAACGGUGCACCUCCCUUCCUUUAAGUGGGUUUCUAAAAGCAGAUAUGGUGUUUGGUUUGCGGAGCUGUGUUUCUUUUUAUCUUUGUCUUCCCCGGGCGGAUACGGAUGUGUUCUGCUCGCCCGUCGCGCCUUUUUUUUCUUUCUUUUUCUUGUUCUCCUAGUCGCGGUCUUGUUUUGGCGGCAGGCUUGGUGAGCUGGGGCCGGAAUGCCUGUGAGGGUCAUUGUUUCCGCCUGGCUAAGUUCAGCGCGCUAAGCUUUUCCUGCUCUCCCUUUUUCAUGUUCCCCCUCUCAGGCGCUUCCCCCCCGCCCCCCGCUGGUCUUUUUUCGGUCCAUUCCCCCCCGCUUCCCUUUUCCGGUUUCGCCCCCGGGUGCAGCCUUUUUUUCUUCAACCGCUUUCCGCUGCCGUUUUCCGAUUUCUUCUACCUUUCUCCGGAAGUUUGCACUCGUGCGUAGUCUGGUUCCCGGUGGUGGCCAGCUCUUCUAAACCUUUACCUCUCAAAGAGCUUUGUCCUCCUCCCCGCGCCCGGCCGUUUACGUUGUACACGCCCGCCCCCCCCCCCCCCCCCCCGCCGCCUUGCCAGUCCUUGUGCUUUCUGUCCAGCUAGCUGCAGCUCAUUUCGCUUUUGAAGGUUUAGCUCCUGGCUGUCUCUCUCUGAGACACUUCUGUCAUUCCUGGUUUUGAAGGUCUAAAUAUCCGAAUCCGGCGACAUCCUCCAAAUGCAACGGACUGCUCAUUGGCUGUCCUACCCGGCCUGUGAAAUAAUUGCUUCUCCAGUAUUUCCAAUACAUCUCCAACAGAUUAAGGUCACUCUGUGACCCGUGAUGAAUCAAGACAGAAACAAGGCCACUCCGUAGUCGCCUCCGAACUGAGACAAGAAAAAAGAAGAAUAUCGUCCAAACAACAAAACUGACCAAACACCCCCUAUCCUAGCUAAUAUGAGUAACUGCUGCUACUUUCCCAGUCGCAGUUUUGGCCUCGCUCUAUUCUUCCUUUCUUCUAGGUGUGUUCCUGGUGGUCUUUGGCUGGAUGGCGUUGACAAGUUAUUAAGAGGGUCCACCGAUGGACCCAUAUGGGAACUGCGACAUGGAAUGCGUUUUAUUCUAACAAGCAAAGCCCCCCCCCCCCCCGUUGGAAGACCUGUAAACGAGAAUACAAGUCAUGAAAUACCACUAUUUACAAAUAGAACUGCUCAAAAGAGAAACUAGAAAAAAAAGAGAAAAGGUUGUUGAUCUCAUAACUCCCAGAGCAAGACAGCUUAGUAAAAGGGUAGAGGGAUGGAUAUAUAUGUAUCUGCAUCUGUGUCGGUGUAUGUACAGUACGCAACAGAUCCAUGAUGUUAUGUGGUGGGUGCUCACGGUAGAAAUCUUUCAACGUUGCUGUACGUGCGAAAAGAAAUUUAAGAAGAAAAAAAUGCUGCCAAGAAAAACCUCACAGAGCUAUUUGUCUCGUUCUGGGCUUUCUCCAAGGAAAUGAGACUUGAGGCAGCUUUCCCGCUACAGGCGCGUUUCCCUUUCAAGGCGAGAGAGAGAGAGAGAGAGAGAGAGAGAGAGAGAGAGAGAGAGCGCGAGCGCGCGCGAGCGAGCGCGAGCCGGCGCUGACGGCAGGAAACCAGGAAACGGCGCGUGUGUGGGCGGGACAUGCAAAUUAAAGUGGCUGUUUCUCUGGCGAGCUAUGGGAGCAAAACAAUAAAAAGCGUGAAAGCCCCGAACAAGUUAAGCGAUCUGAUAAACUGAGUAUGUCUUAGGAGUUGUGACGAUGACAGACUGUCCAGUCUAAGGAAAGAGGGUGAGCCUUCGUUUGAGGGUGACUUUUCUCACCGUGAUCCAAAGGAGGAGUGAGAGGGAGGGUGUCGAUGCGCUGGGGAGGACGUGGUUAUCGCUUCUCGGCCUUUUGGCUAAGAUCAAGUGUAGUAUCUGUUCUUAUCAGUUUAAUAUCUGAUACGUCCUCUAUCCGAGGACAAUAUAUUAAAUGGAUUUUUGGAGCCGGGAGAUGGAAUAGGAGCUUGCUCCGUCCACUCCGCGCAUCGACCUG